rnacentral:lncRNA from 1 species
CCUCCCCCACCCACGGACCCAUCCAGAUGGUGUUCCGUGACAUCGCAGCACCUCUGCCCACCCAGGGCUUGGAUUGGCUGUUGACUUGCUGAUCAAAGAAAGCCCAAGGGCGUGGCCACUUCAGGGGCAGGUAUAGAAGGGGGGGGUUCAGGCCCACACAGCGCAGACCGCUGUGAGGAGCUCCCAGGAGAAGCAGGGCCAGGUAGCCAGCAGGGCAGAGCACAGGACCUAGGACCAGGCUGAGAAAGAAGAGAAGAGCAAUUAUCUUGUUCUUCUUUCCAUCCUCUAGCACCUGCUGGAUGGAUUUCAUGUGGUCCCUUAGUAUUUUCUCCAGUUGAUGAGCAAUUGAGCUGUUUCCAAAUUUUAUGAUGCUAUGAACUUGCUUGACCUUCCACAGCUGGGCUAUGAUUCUUUCAAUCCUUUUGGAAAGACACCCAGCCAAACCUCAGUUGCAGGUGAACUAGAACAAAAGAGUAAACAAUUCGGAUCUCACCUCAUGAAGCAGCUUCUCCACAGCAAGAGAAACCAACAGCAGACUGAAGGGACAACACACAAUGUGUGAAAAAACAUCGAGCAGAGAUUCCUCCAAGGAACACUAUCUAGAAUACAUAAAGAACUUCAAAAAUCAGAGCCCUCGGUAAAUGGAAAGACCUCAUCCAAAAAUGGGCUUCUGAAAUGAAUAGACAUUUCUCAGAUGAAGAUGGAAAAGCAGUCCAUAAACAUUUGAAAAGAUGUUCAAUGUGUCUGCUCAUUGGAGAGAUGAAUAUGAAAGCAACAUUGUAACUCCAUCUUCUGGAGAAAUUAGAGCUGCGACCAAGAAAUCAACCAAUAAAAAAUGCUGGUGGAGAUAUGGCCAAAACAGGAAUGCUUCUCCAGUAUUGCUGGGAAUGUAGACUGGUGCAAACACUGUGGAAAUCAGUAUGGGGAUUCCUCAAAAUAGUGGGAUUCCAUGUCCCAUUUGACCCAGCUAUUCCCCUUCCUGUGUAUUUUCUCAAAAAGACUAAAGCAUCAUACCACAGUCAUAUAAGCUCACCCAUGUUGACAGCGACACAGUGUGUAAUAGCUAACAAAUGGACAUCAAGUGGGUAUUGGGUAAAGAACAUGUGGGGGCUUUUUAUGAAGUGGAGUACUACUCAGCUACAAAGAAAGGGAAAUUAGAGAUAUCUAUACCUGAAUGUAUGCACCUUGAGGCCAUACCCUUCAGUGAAAUAAACAGGAC